rnacentral:rRNA from 1 species
GCAAGUCGAGGGGCAGCAUAGGACUUCGGUCUUGAUGGCGACCGGCGCACGGGUGAGUAACGCGUACACAACCUACCUACGAGAGGGAGAUAGCCUUGGGAAACUGAGAAUAAUACCCCAUAGUAUUACUUUGUUGAUUAUAGAGUAAUUAAAGCUUCGGUGCUUGUAGAUAGGUGUGCGUUAGAUUAGCUAGUUGGUAAGGUAAUGGCUUACCAAGGCGACGAUCUAUAGGGGGCGUGAGAGCGUGAAC